UUGUGCCAAAUGAAUUUCAGCUAGAACUCUGCAAAGGCAUUUACGUAAGGAAAUAAAAUAGUUUAUUCAGCAUGUGAAUCCCCUCUGAAUGUGACCAGAUGGAAAUUAAUUGGGGAUUUCUUUGUCUUUCUGUCCUUUCGUAUAGACUUCAAUAUAACUUUCCUAAAUGAAUUAAAAGAUGAACUCUUUUAUGUUCAAAACCUUAAUAUCAUCUCAUUAAUGAACACAUGACAAAGUGAUUUUGAUAGAGAUAUGCUUGCCAUUGUCAUUCUAGUCAUUGUUAACACCAAAAAACGAUGUUGUCUGUAUUAGCUGGAACAUUCUAAGUGCCUUCAGGUUUAAUUCAAUCAUUUCAUUGAACAUCAAGAACCAAUAUAAAUAGUAUUCAAAUAAUGCCAUGUGAGAGGAUUCUGGGCUUGCAUUGAGACUUGUUCUUUUUUUACUUAUGGAGCUGAUUUGCUGUGAGACUUCAAGGAGGGCAAGGGACACACUCUGUACCUCCUGUGAAGCUCCUUAGGAAACAUCUGACCCAACUCUCUUGAGCUGUACAUGAAGAAACUCCAACCCAGAGAGGAUAUUGUAGGCCAAGCUGAUGGGCAGUGCCUCUGACGGUCAGAGUGAAAAAUCAGCCACAAACCGGAGGGAAUGAGGAAUGCAGCAAUGAGACCUCUUUACAGGAACCAUGAAUAGCUGUUGUUUUUUGGCUUCUAACAGAGAGAAGAUCACUCUUGCUGGAAGCAAAGGGAGUAUUUUUUUUAGUAACUGCGCAUUUAGUAUGGAGGUAAUUUAAGUGCGUGUUUUUAUGUGUUGCUGCUGUUGACUAUCACAACCAGUUUUUCUAAUUCUCUAAAUGUUCAAUACAUCUUUCAUGCCCCA